CCUACGGGAGGCAGCAGUGGGGAAUAUUGCACAAUGGGGGAAACCCUGAUGCAGCGACGCCGCGUGAGUGAAGAAGUAAUUCGUUAUGUAAAGCUCUAUCAGCAGGGACGAAAAUGACGGUACCUGAGUAAGAAGCCCCGGCUAACUACGUGCCAGCAGCCGCGGUAAUACGUAGGGGGCAAGCGUUAUCCGGAUUUACUGGGUGUAAAGGGAGCGUAGACGGCAGUGUAAGUCUGGAGUGAAAGGCGGGGGCUCAACCCCCGGACUGCUUUGGAAACUGGACGGCUGGAGUGCAGGAGAGGUAAGUGGAAUUCCUAGUGUAGCGGUGAAAUGCGUAGAUAUUAGGAGGAACACCAGUGGCGAAGGCGGCUUACUGGACUGUAACUGACGUUGAGGCACGAAAGCGUGGGUAGCAAACAGGAUUAGAUACCCUGGUAGUC
rnacentral:rRNA from 1 species